rnacentral:rRNA from 1 species
AGAGUUUGAUCAUGGCUCAGAUUGAACGCUGGCGGCAGGCCUAACACAUGCAAGUCGAGCGGAAACGAUUCCUUCGGGGAGGCGUCGAGCGGCGGACGGGUGAGUAAUGCAUAGGAAUCUACCCAACUGCGGGGGAUAACCCGGGGAAACUCGGGCUAAUACCGCAUAAUCUCUACGGAGCAAAGCGGGGGCUCUUCGGACCUCGCGCUGAUGGAUGAGCCUAUGUCUGAUUAGUUUGUUGGUGGGGUAACGGCCUACCAAGACGACGAUCAGUAGCUGGUCUGAGAGGAUGAUCAGCCACACCGGGACUGAGACACGGCCCGGACUCCUACGGGAGGCAGCAGUGGGGAAUAUUGGACAAUGGGCGGAAGCCUGAUCCAGCCAUGCCGCGUGUGUGAAGAAGGCCCUAGGGUUGUAAAGCACUUUAAGCAGGAAAGAAAAGCGCCGGGUUAAUAACCCGAGCGUAUUGACGGUACCUGCAGAAUAAGCACCGGCUAACUUCGUGCCAGCAGCCGCGGUAAUACGAAGGGUGCAAGCGUUAAUCGGAAUUACUGGGCGUAAAGCGAGUGUAGGCGGUUGCGUGUGUCGGAUGUGAAAGCCCUGGGCUCAACCUGGGAAUUGCAUUCGAAACUGCGUAACUAGAAUAUGGUAGAGGAAGACGGAAUUCCACGUGUAGCGGUGAAAUGCGUAGAUAUGUGGAGGAACACCAAUGGCGAAGGCAGUCUUCUGGGCCAAUAUUGACGCUGAGGCUCGAAAGCGUGGGUAGCAAACAGGAUUAGAUACCCUGGUAGUCCACGCCGUAAACGAUGAGAACUAGACGUUGGUUGACAUAGUCGGCCAGUGUCGCAGC